GUGUGUUUGUGUUUGUGUUUGAGGGGGGAGGGGAAGAGGAGUUGAUUGAGUCUGUGAGAAGCUGCCACAGAGAGGUUACAGUCAAGAGAGCCAAGAGCUGUCACAGAUGAUGAGCUCUGAAAAAUAUUAUCACAGAAAAUAAUUAGCGUAAAAGCUUUUAUUUAAAAUUUUUACAUCUCGGAAGUGUGAACUGUUACGCCAGCGUGUGCCCUGCGACCUGCGUUGACCCCGCGGUUGCCGGGGUCCCGCGGUCGCCGCUCCCCCGACGGGCGCCGGGUGCGAGGGCCCGUUCAACGCUGCUCGCAGCUUUAAUUAGGGCCCGAGCAACGAGUUGCGUGGGCCCAACGGGGCCAUGCAACGAGUUGCAAGGACCCUCUUGUUUUCGUUCGGUUUAUUAUUAUUAGGGCCCGAGCAACGAGUUGCGUGGGCCCAACGGGGCCAUGCAACGAGUUGCAAGGACCCUCUUGUUUUCGUUCGGUUUAUUAUUAUUAUUAUUAUUAUUAUUUUUUUUCUUCUUUUUCCGCCUCUUUGAUCGCCUUUUUGAGGGCCUUAAAAUGCGUCAAAACUCCUGAAAAUUUGCAGACGCGUCAGGCACGGCGAAAAAUUUAAGAAUUUAGGGGUCUUGAGCAUGGGUGUGGCAAAAUGGCCUCGGUAGCGCCACCUACAUUUUUAACGGAACAGCCCCUCAAGCCCGUUGCGCCUAAAAAUCUGAAAAUCUGCACACAUAUGUAACAUCCCAUGACGCACCAAAAAGUCUCUUGGAGCCAUAUUCUAAACCCAACAGAAAGUAUUUUUAUUUUGACCGGAAGGUGAAAAAAUUGUGUGUUUUUGGCCAUUUCCAGGGGUCGCUUGAACGCGAACUAGUCCUAGACGCAUUAUCCGAUUGACUUCAAAAUUUGAUAAUUUGUUCUUAAGACAUAGACGAAGUUAAAUUGCAAAAGUUUCGGACUUUUCAUUGAAGGGCGUGGAAGUUAUGGCCCCUCAAAGUUCGAUCACUCGCCACAAAACAGGAAGUUGCUUUAUAUUUGCUAUAUUUCGGCCAUACUUUGUCCAAACUGCAUCAAACUUUACAGGAUUGUUAAUGGUACCUAUCUGCACACAUCCAUAUGUCAAUAUUCAUACAAUUGUUGUAGCGCCACCUAUUUAUAGCAGGAAAUGACAUAUUUUAUAGUGUGAUGUCCAGUUUCUAGACGGGUGACCAGAUUCACUUCAAAUGUUGUCAGCCCCUCCUUGACAAUUUUUGGAAGACGUCCUCCGAAAAUUGUGAGUUUUGGUCGAAGCGUGUGCCUGUUCUGGCCCGUCAAAGUUCGGAAACCCAACUUCCUGUUUGAAACCUCAGAUUUUGGGGUAACUUCCUGUUGCGACUCUCUACUUUAUCCUAUAGAUGGAGCCAUUGUAUUACUCUUUGAUGGGUUUUUGGAGGGGGGUCUCUGUGUGUGUGUGUGUGUGUGUGUUUGUGUUUGUGUUUGAGGGGGGAGGGGAAGAGGAGUUGAUUGAGUCUGUGAGAAGCUGCCACAGAGAGGUUACAGUCAAUAGAGCCAUGAUCUGUCACAGAUGAUGAGCUCUGAAAAAUAUUAUCACAGAAAAUAAUUAGCAUAAAAGCUUUUAUUUAAAAUUUUUACAUCUGGGAAGUGUGAACUGUUACGCCAGCGUGUGCCCUGCGACCUGCGUUGACCCCGCGGUUGCCGGGGUCCCGCGGUCGCCGCUCCCCCGACGGACGCCGGGUGCGAGGGCCCGUUCAACGCUGCUCGCAGCUUUAAUUAUUAUUAUUAUUAUUUUUUUCUUCUUUUUCCGCCUCUUUGAUCGCCUUUUUGAGGGCCUUAAAAUGCGUCAAAACUCCUGAAAAUUUGCAGACGCGUCAGGCACGGCGAAAAAUUUAAGAAUUUAGGGGUCUUGAGCAUGGGUGUGGCAAAAUGGCCUCGGUAGCGCCACCUACAUUUUUAACGGAACAGCCCCUCAAGCCCGUUGCGCCUAAAAAUCUGAAAAUCUGCACACAUAUGUAACAUCCCAUGACGCACCAAAAAGUCUCUUGGAGCCAUAUUCUAAACCCAACAGAAAGUAUUUUUAUUUUGACCGGAAGGUGAAAAAAUUGUGUGUUUUUGGCCAUUUCCAGGUGUCGCUUGAACGCGAACUAGUCCUAGACGCAUUAUCCGAUUGACUUCAAAAUUUGAUAAUUUGUUCUUAAGACAUAGACGAAGUUAAAUUGCAAAAGUUUCGGACUUUUCAUUGAAGGGCGUGGAAGUUAUGGCCCCUCAAAGUUCGAUCACUCGCCACAAAACAGGAAGUUGCUUUAAAUUUGCUAUAUUUCGGCCAUACUUUGUCCAAACUGCAUCAAACUUUACAGGAUUGUUAAUGGUACCUAUCUGCACACAUCCAUAUGUCAAUAUUCAUACAAUUGUUGUAGCACCACCUAUUUAUAGCAGGAAAUGACAUAUUUUAUAGUGUGAUGUCCAGUUUCUAGACGGGUGACCAGAUUCACUUCAAAUGUUGUCAGGACAGACUUAAGGAUUUUUGGAAGACUGGCUCCGAAAAUUGUGAGUUUGGGUCGAAGCGUGUGCCGGUUCUGGCCCGUCAAAGUUCGGAAACCCAACUUCCUGUUUGAAACCUCAGAUUUUGGGGUAACUUCCUGUUGCGACUCUCUACUUUAUCCUACAGAUGGAGCCAUUGUAUUACUCUUUGAUGGGUUUUUGGAAGGGGGUCUCUGUGUGUGUGUGUCUGUGUGUGUCUGAGGGGGGAGGGGAAGAGGAGUUGAUUGAGUCUGUGAGAAGCUGCCACAGAGAGGUUACAGUCAGGAGAGCCAAGAGCUGUCACAGAUGAUGAGCUCUGAAAAAUAUUAUGACAGAAAAUAAUUAGCAUAAAAGCUUUUAUUUUAAAUUUUUACAUCUCGGAAGUGUGAACUGUUACGCCAGCGUGUACCCUGCGACCUGCGUUGACCCCGCGGUUGCCGGGGUCCCGCGG